GCUGGGAUGGCUCAGUUGGUAGAGCAUGAGACACUUAAUCUCAGGCUCGAGCCCCAUGUUGGGCA